rnacentral:lncRNA from 1 species
AACAUCUUCUACUCUUAGCGUUUUUGAGAAAAGUUUAUAUUUACAAAGUUAUUUCGUGUUAAAUUUGUCGUAUUUCAGUAAUUUCAACCAAUCAAUGAUGUGUAUUCAGCUGAAUAAAAUUACUGCUAACCCAUGCUAGCAUGCAAAGCAGACGUUAAAGGAUGAUGAUGAUGAUGAUGUUUGUCAACAACAACUGGUGGUAUAUAUUUCGUUUGUUGUUGUUAUUUAUGACAUCGUUCAUGCGUUUGUACUGGUUUUAGCUUUAAGGUGUUAGGGUUAGGGUUUUAGGGUUAGAGUUAAGGUUUUAGUGUUAGGGCUAGGGUUUUAGUGUCAGGGCUAUGGUUUUAGGGUUAGGGUUAGGGUUUUAGGGUUAGAGUUAAGGUUUUAGUGUUAGGGCUAGGGUUUUAGUGUCAGGGCUAAGGUUUUAGGGUUAGGGUUAGGGUUUUAGUUUCAGGGCUAAGGUUUUAGGGUUAGGGUUAGGGUUUUAGUGUCAGGGCUAAGGUUUUAGGGUUAGGGUUAGGGUUUUAGGGUUAGAGUUAAGGUUUUAGUGUUAGGGCUAGGGUUUUAGUGUCAGGGCUAAGGUUUUAGGGUUAGGGUUAGGGUUUUAGUGUCAGGGCUAAGGUUUUAGGGUUAGGGUUAGGGUUUUAGGGUUAGAGUUAAGGUUUUAGUGUUAGGGCUAGGGUUUUAGUGUCAGGGCUAAGGUUUUAGGGUUAGGGUUGGGGUUUUAGGGUUAGAGUUAAGGUUUUAGUUUUAGGGCUAGGGUUUUAGUGUCAGGGCUAAGGUUUUAGGGUUAGGGUUAAAAAAGUCUUAGCGAAAAUAGUAGCUGAAAAACAGGAAAAAACAUAACUAAAACCAGUAGAAAUGCACGAACGAUUCUGGUGGUGUCAUGAAGUAAACAUGUUUCAGAUAGACUCGUUUUUCAUACAAACAUAACUGAGAUGAAAUAUGUCGUAAAUAACAGUGACAAACGAAAUAUACACCGCCAGAAGUUGUUGUUGACAAACAACAGCAGUAAUUUUAUUCAGAUGAAUACACGCCAUUGAUUGGUUGAAAUUACCGAAAUACGACAAAUUUAACACGAAAUAACUUUGUAAAUAUAAACUUUU